GCCAGCGUGGUCUUGUGGUUUGAGUGCUGGUCUACGAUUCUGGCGUCCAGGGUUCGAGUCCCAGCUCGGCCA